GGUCAAGCGAACAAGCGCACGCGGUGGAUGCCUAGGCAGUAGGAGGCGAUGAAGGACGUAGUAGCCUGCGAUAAGCCUCGGGGAGCCGGCAAACAGGCUUUGAUCCGGGGAUUUCCGAAUGGGGAAACCCACCCGCGCAAGCGGGUAUCCGUUCCUGAAUACAUAGGGGGCGGAAGCAAACCCGGGGAAUUGAAACAUCUCAGUACCCGGAGGAAAAGAAAUCAAUCUGAGAUUCCGUUAGUAGUGGCGAGCGAACGCGGAACAGCCCGCUGACAUCAAGUGUCGGGACUUUAGAUGAACGGUCUGGAAAGGCCGGCCAUAGACGGUGAUAGCCCGGUAGUCGAAAAGGUUCUGGCAUGGGUCAGCAACGAGUAGGGCGGGACACGUGAAAUCCUGUCUGAAGAUGGGGGGACCAUCCUCCAAGGCUAAAUACUCCCUACUGACCGAUAGUGAACUAGUACCGUGAGGGAAAGGCGAAAAGAACCCCGGUGAGGGGAGUGAAAUAGAACCUGAAACCGCGUGUGUACAAGCAGUGGAAGCCUCGCAAGGGGCGACUGCGUACCUUUUGUAUAAUGGGUCAGCGAGUUAUUUUCAGUGGCAAGCUUAACCGUCUAGGGUAGGCGAAGGGAAACCGAGUCUGAAUAGGGCGUUGAGUCGCUGGGAAUAGACCCGAAGCCGGGCGAUCUAUCCAUGGCCAGGGUGAAGGUGGGGUACAACCUACUGGAGGCCCGAACCCGUUACUGUUGAAAAAGUAUGGGAUGAGCUGUGGAUAGGAGUGAAAGGCUAAUCAAGCUCGGCGAUAGCUGGUUCUCCUCGAAAGCUAUUGAGGUAGCGCCUCGUGUAUCACUCCCGGGGGUAGAGCACUGUUUCGGCUAGGGGGUCGUCCAGACUUACCAAACCGAUGCAAACUCCGAAUACCGGGAAGUGCAGCACGGGAGACACACGGCGAGUGAUAAAAUUCGUCGUGAAGAGGGAAACAACCCUGAUCGCCAGCUAAGGUCCCCAAAUCACGGCUAAGUGGUAAACGAUGUGGAAGGGCCCAGACAGCCAGGAGGUUGGCUUAGAAGCAGCCAUCCUUUAAAGAAAGCGUAAUAGCUCACUGGUCGAGUCAGUCUGCGCGGAAGAUUUAACGGGGCUCAAGCCGUGUACCGAAGCUGCGGGUGGAUCCGGUGCUUGCACUGGAUCUGCGGUAGAGGAGCGUUCCGUAGGCCUGCGAAGGUGGCUCGCGAGAGCUGCUGGAGGUAUCGGAAGUGCGAAUGCUGACAUGAGUAACGAUCAUGCGGGUGAAAAGCCCGCACGCCGUAAGCCCAAGGUUUCCUGCGCAACGUUAAUCGACGCAGGGUGAGUCGGACCCUAAGGCGAGGCCGAAAGGCGUAGUCGAUGGGAAACAGGUUAAUAUUCCUGUACUAGGAGUUGAUGCGAUGGGGGGACGGAGAAGGUUAGACCAGCCGGGUGUUGGUUGCCCCGGUUUAAGCUUGUAGGGAGUGCCUUUAGGAAAAUCCGGAGGCACAAUCCCGAGAAGUGAUGACGAGCGGUACUUCGGUAUUCGCGAAGUGGUUGAUACCACGCUUCCAAGAAAAUCCUCUAAGCUUCAGUCAACUCGUAUCCGUACCGUAAACCGACACAGGUAGGCGAGGAGAGAAUCCUAAGGCGCUUGAGAGAACUCGGGUGAAGGAACUAGGCAAACUGGUACCGUAACUUCGGAAGAAGGUACGCCCCCGGUACGUGAAAGCCCUUGCGGCUGGAGCGGAUGGGGGUCGCAGUGAAAAGGCCGUUGCGACUGUUUAAUAAAAACACAGCACUCUGCAAACACGAAAGUGGACGUAUAGGGUGUGACGCCUGCCCGGUGCCGGAAGGUUAAGUGAUGGGGUCAGCCGUAAGGCGAAGCUCUUGAUCGAAGCCCCGGUAAACGGCGGCCGUAACUAUAACGGUCCUAAGGUAGCGAAAUUCCUUGUCGGGUAAGUUCCGACCUGCACGAAUGGCGUAACGAUAACGGCACUGUCUCCACCCGAGACUCAGUGAAAUUGAAAUCGCUGUGAAGAUGCAGCGUUCCCGUGGCAAGACGGAAAGACCCCGUGAACCUUUACUGCAACUUUACACUGAAUUUGGAACAGGCUUGUGUAGGAUAGGUGGGAGGCACUGAAGCGCAGACGCUAGUUUGCGUGGAGCCAACCUUGAAAUACCACCCUGGUUUGUUCGAAGUUCUAACCUAGACCCGUUAUCCGGGCCGGGGACAGUGUAUGGUGGGUAGUUUGACUGGGGCGGUCUCCUCCCAAAGAGUAACGGAGGAGCGCAAAGGUACCCUCAGCGCGGUCGGAAAUCGCGCAAUGUGUGCAAAGGCAAAAGGGUGCUUAACUGCGAGACACACAAGUCGAGCAGGUGCGAAAGCAGGUCUUAGUGAUCCGGUGGUUCUGUAUGGAAGGGCCAUCGCUCAACGAAUAAAAGGUACUCCGGGGAUAACAGGCUGAUUCCUCCCAAGAGUUCACAUCGACGGGGGAGUUUGGCACCUCGAUGUCGGCUCAUCACAUCCUGGGGCUGUAGCAGGUCCCAAGGGUAUGGCUGUUCGCCAUUUAAAGUGGUACGCGAGCUGGGUUUAGAACGUCGUGAGACAGUUCGGUCCCUAUCUGCCAUGGGCGUUGGAGAUUUGAGGGGAGCUGCUCCUAGUACGAGAGGACCGGAGUGGACGUACCUCUGGUGUUCCGGUUGUCACGCCAGUGGCAUCGCCGGGUAGCUAUGUACGGACGGGAUAACCGCUGAAAGCAUCUAAGCGGGAAGCCCACCCCAAGAUGAGAUCUCCCUGGACCCUCGAGGUCCCUGAAGGUCCGUCGAAGACGACGACGUUGAUAGGCUGGGUGUGUAAGCGCAGCAAUGCGUUCAGCUAACCAGUACUAAUUGACCGUGAGGUUUGACCAU
rnacentral:rRNA from 1 species